GCCUGCCCAGUGAUAACAUUUUAACGGCCGCGGUAUCCUAACCGUGCAAAGGUAGCGCAAUCACUUGUUCUUUAAAUAAGGACUAGUAUGAACGGCGCCAUGAGGGUCAUCUUGUCUCUCGCGCUAAGUCAAUGAAACUGAUCCCCCAGUCCAAAAGCUGGGAUACCCACACAAGACGAGAAGACCCUGUGGAGCUUCAAACUGCACCUCACCAAAAUUUGAGCCUGCCGUUUUUGGUUGGGGCGACCUUGGAGCAAAACUAAACCUCCAAACCCUUAAACUUUAGGCCUACGCGCCAAAAGGGAACCAGACUUCUUCGACCCAAUACAAUUGAUCAAUGAACCAAGUUACCCCAGGGAUAACAGCGCAAUCUUCUUUUAGAGUCCCUAUCGACAAGAAGGUUUACGACCUCGAUGUUGGAUCAGGAUACCCAAAUGGUGCAGCCGCUAUUAAAGGUUCGUUUGUUCAACGAUUAACAAUCCUACGUGAUCUGAGUUCAGACCGG
rnacentral:rRNA from 1 species